UACGGAGGGGGCGAGCGUUAUUCGGAAUUAUUGGGCGUAAAGGGCGCGUAGGCGGCUGGGUAAGUCAAAGGUGAAAUCCCUCGGCUCAACUGAGGAACUGCCUUUGAAACUGUCCAGCUCGAGGCCGGGAGGGGGUGGCGGAAUUCCCAGUGUAGCGGUGAAAUGCGUAGAUAUCUGGAGGAACACCGGUGGCGAAGGCGGCAUCCUGGACCAACACUGACACUGAUGAGCGAAAGCCAGGGGAGCAAACGGG
rnacentral:rRNA from 1 species